UUUACUAGAAAAUUACGAGGGUGUAUUUUGGAUCCAUCGCAAAUACUUUGUAAAUUAGUUAGGAAAUUGCAAGGGUAAAUUCAUUUUUUUUUGGACAAAGCAAAGGUAAAUUCUAGGGAAAUUGCACUCUAUAUACAUGAAAAAAACUUAAAUACACUAACUAACCAAAAUUCCCCCUCUCUCCUACUUUCUCUUCCUAUCUCUCUCUACUCUUUCUCCUAAAAUCUAAUUUUUCAUUUUUUUUAGUUAUUUGGCAAAUAAGUCCUAAAUUCUAUGUUGCAAAUUUACUAAAAA
rnacentral:lncRNA from 1 species